AAGGUUUUAAGUUAAAUAAACUAAUAAUCUUCAAAAUUAUAAAUAUAAAUAUGUUAUAAACCUUA
rnacentral:tRNA from 1 species